GUGCUAAGUUCAGCAGCAUAUAUACUGAAACUGGAACAUACAGACAAGAUUUGCUUGGCCUCUGUGCAAGGAUGACAUGCAGAUUCAUGAAGGGUUCCAUGUCUUU